UUCAAUUCAGUAUAGCACAUGAAAAACUAGAUUUCCAAGUUUUGAAGGAAAUAAAAAGUGAAUCAUCAGAUCACUCACGCGUGGAAGAUGAAGAUGAUGAUGGCAUUAAUGUUGGCCAUGCAAGCCAAAGUUCCUAUAACAGUAAAAUGGAGCAAGAAUCAACUGAUACAGACACAAGGAAUGCAGACCUCCUUGAUUUAGACAACAAAGAAAACAGUAAUAAUUCAUGCUCCUCCCUUCCUUCAUUGACCUGGAAUGGUGUGGCUGGUGAAGAGUCUGAGAUCUGCUCUCCCUCCAUCUACUAGCAAGACUCAGAGCUCAGAAACCUACAGGAACACCAGUAACCCACUAGGAUCCUGCAAAGGCACACACAAUGGACAGGCAGAACUAGAGAAAUUUGUGAAACAUCUCUAAGCGUAUGUCUGGAUCUGAAAGAAAACAUCUUUCAUGGCUGGAACACAAGAAAAAGGCAGCAGAAACAAUCUGAAAUUUGUAUCUGAAAGCACAAAUACACCAUCAG